rnacentral:rRNA from 1 species
AAAUUGAAGAGUUUGAUCAUGGCUCAGAUUGAACGCUGGCGGCAGGCCUAACACAUGCAAGUCGAACGGUAACAGGAAGAAGCUUGCUUCUUUGCUGACGAGUGGCGGACGGGUGAGUAAUGUCUGGGAAACUGCCUGAUGGAGGGGGAUAACUACUGGAAACGGUAGCUAAUACCGCAUAACGUCGCAAGACCAAAGAGGGGGGACCUUCGGGCCUCUUGCCAUCGGAUGUGCCCAGAUGGGAUUAGCUAGUAGGUGGGGUAACGGCUCACCUAGGCGACGAUCC